UACGUAGGGUGCAAGCGUUAUCCGGAAUUAUUGGGCGUAAAGAGCUCGUAGGCGGUUUGUCGCGUCUGCUGUGAAAACCUAAGGCUCAACCUUGGGCUUGCAGUGGGUACGGGCAGGCUAGAGUUCGGUAGGGGAGACUGGAAUUCCUGGUGUAGCGGUGAAAUGCGCAGAUAUCAGGAGGAACACCGGUGGCGAAGGCGGGUCUCUGGGCCGACACUGACGCUGAGGCGCGAAAGCGUGGGGAGCAAACAGG
rnacentral:rRNA from 1 species